AAUCUGGCUAGAUUAAGACAGGUAAUUAUCUGUUUGCCAACCAUAGAAAGGAAGAAUAGGAGGAUUAGAAACUGCUUGGUUUUAUCAAAUUGAUAAAUAAGUUAUUUCCAGCUAACUAAUUUUGGCAAUACAAUAGGAAAAUAUAAUAGCAUGAAAUAGGAGUUUGGAAGUUUAAAAUUUUGGUUUGUGUUAAUUUGUAGUGUUUGGCACUAACAGCUGAUCACAAAUAGUUCAAAAUGAAUCUCCAAUUAUAAUAUAUGCACUGGUUCUGCAAUUGAGUAUAAUUAUACUAAAAUAUUAAAUCAAGAUAGACUGAUAACUUAAUUAAAUAAGGGCUGUACUGUGCAAUCAUGAUCAAUUGGUGAAAGAUUUAGAUCCAGUGUGUUGUAGUAGAAGGGUAUUUGUGUAUUGGAUUCCACUAGUGCUUUAUUUUUCCCCAGUCUAGUAGCAACUUCCUUAUGCAAUAAGCACAUGAUUCUAUCAAUUUUUUUCAAUCAAUAAGAGAUUAUGUUCUGUCAUUCGGCUAUAACAACUUUUAGUGUUGAUCUCUCUCAUGAACACUCAAAAUCAGAUAAUCUGUGGAUGACAUACAGAUCAAAACAAGCGUGCGCGCGCACGCACACACGCACACAGAUGCAUGUAUUUUGUUACUAAUUGACAAGUGAUUUCAUUUCAUCAGAUUUCAGGUGCAAGAGUUGAAGUGCGUGAUCCAUCUCCCAGCAAGAGUGAGAGAAUGGUGGUUAUAUCAGGGACACCAGAUCAAACCAGGGCAGCACAGAGCUUGCUUCAAGCCUUCAUUUUAGCCGACCAGUAAUUUACAUACUACAAGUCUAACCACAUAUAGUUUGCAGCAGAUUGUUGGACGUAGAUGUCAUUUGUGUAUAUUUCCACUCGAAGCAUGGACAUAUCUUACGUGUGUGGUUCAGUGUCAACGUGGAAAUGCUAACUUUUAUGUAGGGUGAGGUUUCCCAGCAAGAUCAAAGCCGUAGAAGAGGUCUUUCUAACAGGUUCUUGAGAUUUGGAAGUGCAGAGUACAAUUACACUGGAUUUGUUGAUAUUUAAUUGCAAAACUUGACAUGAUAUCAUAUGCUUUUAAUAUCUUGUUAGAUCAAUCGUUUACCUUUCCCUUUUAUUUUUAUUUUUUUAAUAAGAAGAGG
rnacentral:misc_RNA from 1 species